rnacentral:rRNA from 1 species
ACGCACGCUGGCGGCGUGCCUCAUACAUGCCAGUUGAGCGAUGAAGAUUGGUGCUUGCACCAAUUUGAAGAGCAGCGAACGGGUGAGUAACGCGUGGGGGAUCUGCCUUUGAGCGGGGGACAACAUUUGGAAACGAAUGCUAAUACCGCAUAACAACUUUAAACAUAAGUUUUAAGUUUGAAAGAUGCAAUUGCAUCACUCAAAGAUGAUCCCGCGUUGUAUUAGCUAGUUGGUGAGGUAAAGGCUCACCAAGGCGAUGAUACAUAGCCGACCUGAGAGGGUGAUCGGCCACAUUGGGACUGAGACACGGCCCAAACUCCUACGGGAGGCAGCAGUAGGGAAUCUUCGGCAAUGGACGAAAGUCUGACCGAGCAACGCCGCGUGAGUGAAGAAGGUUUUCGGAUCGUAAAACUCUGUUGGUAGAGAAGAACGUUGGUGAGAGUGGAAAGCUCAUCAAGUGACGGUAACUACCCAGAAAGGGACGGCUAACUACGUG